rnacentral:rRNA from 1 species
UACAGAGGUGGCAAGCGUUGUUCGGAAUUACUGGGCGUAAAGGGCGCGUAGGCGGUCCGAUAAGUCCCGGGUGAAAUCCCUCGGCUCAACUGAGGAAUGGCACGGGAAACUGACGGGCUUGAGUUCGGGAGAGGGAAGCGGAAUUCCGGGUGUAGCGGUGAAAUGCGUAGAUAUCCGGAGGAACACCGGUGGCGAAGGCGGCUUCCUGGACCGACACUGACGCUGAGGCGCGAAAGCUAGGGGAGCAAACGGG